rnacentral:lncRNA from 1 species
UUCAUUUGAUUUUUUUUUUUGAAGGAAUUUGUCCAUUGCUCUCACAUCAUAUGUCUUGUAAAAUGUCAUGACUCGAAAAAAUGACUGUACUUUAUUUAAAUUAACUCGUGAAUGAAAGAAUCAUACUGCGGAACUAAUAUGAAUAAUAAUCAGGGCUUUUGAUCAAGAGCAGGCACCAUCCUCAAAGGCACAGCGUCAAUGAUCUGAAGCUCAUUGGGCGGAAUCAAAGUGUUAGUUUCUUCGGCUUUCGUCAUCUGCAAAAUGCAACAAAAAAAGAAAAAAGAGAAACCCAAAUAAAUAUACAAUUACAGAGAAAAUUGACUUAUCAUGGUGGUGAUAAAAGUGAAGAAAUAAAAUCUUUCUUGUCGUUUGAUUUAGUGGGUGCAUGUACGAUGUGGGGGAAUAGAGAGAGUGAAAUACAUUUUUUGAUGGCAAGUACAUGUAACUAGCAGUCCUUUAGUGUUAGGUAUUGUGUAAAUAAAAUAAAAUAAAUUAUACCUAGGACGUUGUAUAAGUUUAAAACAUGCAAUGACUUUUAAGCCAAAAAAAAAAAAAGUUUAUGUAAGGCUGAAAUAAACCUACCUCUUCUAAAUUAAUCUAUGCAUACAUGUUAAAAUAGAAACUCGUCCGCACUAACCCUAUUAUUAAUUUGAAAGGGACACAAGAAUAUUGUUGAUAAAGAAUGCUGGAGCAUUAGAUAGUAUUGGACCUCUCUCAACUCCAAAAGCUAACUUAAGAGGUAAGGUUUACCCUCACACUUAUAAAGUCACUAUCAGCCCCUUCCCCAACCAAUGUGGGAUAACCCCAAUAAUCUCCUCCUCACACACAGGGCUUGGAUCAAAAGCAUAGAUACCUAUUCUCUCAAUUAGACUAUUAGGUUGAGAUGUUGGUGAACCUGAACUUUAAUAUUACUGUUUGGUAGUCCUAUGCCUCUUUCAACCCCAAAAGCUAGCUCAAGGGGUGAGGCUUUCCCUCAUACUUAUAAAGUCACUACCGGCCCCUUGCACAACCGAUAUGGGAUAAUUGAAACAAGUAGCAAUUAUAGUUUAUCUAAUUAGAAUAAAAAGGACUUUUGAAGGAAAAUGAAUUAAUAAGAAGAUUCUCUUGUAAUGAAAACCAUAAAAAAUAGGGAUAUACUAAAUACACAUUGAUUUUUAUCUUUCCAAUUGUAUAAGAUUGAUGUAAAUUUGUUUUUCCUACAAAAAUAACAAUAACAGUUAAAUCUCAUAUAUAUCUUAUGUUUCACUGGUAUUAAAUAACUCUUAGAUUGUCUAAUUCACAUAAAAAUCAAUAGUAAAUCCACAUUUAAGUAAUGCACCUCUAAAGAAAUAUUAAUUUCACAUUUACGUUCCCAAUCAUAUUAGCUAUCAUAAUUAAUAUUUUCUUUUUGCAGGAAUAAAAAAUUAAUAUAUAACUAAAUAAUGUAAAUUACGAAUCAACGUGAACAAAAGAUAAACUGUCUCCUACCAUACAUAACAUUCUAAAUUUUUUUACUAACUUGCCCAGGCAUAGGUAAUCUCGAUGUCAUAUGAUAGGUAAUAAUGAUUGACAACUCCAUCCGUUGCUACAUGCGAUGGAAGAGGCUGCAAUUCAUAAUUAUCCUUUAAUUAGUGUUCAAUGAUGGAAGCUAAAGAAGUCUACAAUAUAUGAAGGGUAGAUUAAGAGAUUACUUAAUAACCUGAAAUUGAAUUGAAUAGAGAGUGGAAUUUGGAUAGACAUAUAAUUUUCAGUAAGUUCAAAAAGGAAGCCAUCAGGAUGAAUCUUGAAUAAGAAUUUUCUGUUAUCGAGCAAAUUGUCGAUUUAUUUCAUUUGAUUUUUUUUUUUAAGGAAUUUGUCCAUUGCUCUCACAUCAUAUGUCUUGUAAAAUGUCAUGACUCGAAAAAAUGACUGUACUUUAUUUAAAUUAACUCGUGAAUGAAAGAAUCAUACUGCGGAACUAAUAUGAAUAAUAAUCAGAUAAAGCUUACAUGAACGAGAGAAUCAUGUACCUUAAUUCUUUCUUCCUCAAUUGUUGUUCUUUUUUGGUUAAUUCACAAACUUUUAAAACUUAGUAAAAUUAUUAAAUUAAAAAAAUGUUAAUUAAGCAAAAUUCCAUCAGAUCUGCGCCUCGAGCCAUCUAAUUUGUUGAUGAUCUUAUUAGAGAAUCAAGAAAAUGGCAUAGAGCAAGGAUAGGAGCGGAAUUAAUUACCCCAUCGGUCAUUUCUUGAGAAGGAAGUGUCGGCACUGAUGAUGAGGCCUUCAUGUCUCUACUUUGCCAACCAAUUAACCCUAGAAAUUGAGAAAGAGAGGUAGAUAGAGAGAGGAAACAGAUCUAGUGAGUGUCAAAUAAACUGGCUUAUUAUUGUGUCCUUUUUAUUGCAUGCAAAAGUUGGCAAUGUUUGCACAUUUGGUAAGUAAAGGUGGAGGAGAUUCAGAGUAAAUUUACUAAAGCAACGGCUACUCUCAUCAUUGUGGUCUAAAUUAAGUUAAUCAAGAUAUUAUGCUAUAAUUUUAUCUCGGCAGGCCCCAUUUUUUUUUUACUCUUUAUGUUUGAAAUACUGUAGAUUAAGUAGUCAUUUUACUAAUUAUAGGUAAAUGUUACAUUUUGGUUCUUUAACUUUGCUCUUUUUUUUGUUUGCCAUGUUGUUUGUAGAUUCUCUAUUAUGAAUCGUAUCAAAUGCAUAUAAUUCUGCCACUAAGACGAACUUUUUUUUUUCAAGAGAUAAAUUUGCAUGAGGGUAGAAAGAAAUUACAGUGUAUUUCUCAUUUGAAACUAUUUUUCUGGAAUAAAUUCCAUAUCUUAUUUUACCCAAGUCACAAUAGUACAUGGUUUGCCUUAUAUAUAGCGCAUAUGAGCUUCCAUUAUUUGAUGUUUGGUACCCAUAUCUCUAUGGAUUUGCAGUAUCUAAUUGCUUGGAUAAUUAAGUAAUUAAACAGUUUCUUUCUUUUUUAAAGUAGAAAUUCCAUAUGUAUUGUGUGUUUUUUUAUCAAUAAAAAAUUUUAUCAACUUUUCCGAUGCAUUGAAUAGGAAAAAAUCUAAACUAUAGAAAUUGUUGUUGUCAUGGGGUUUAUCACACAUCAGGAUUUAUUUGUGUUCAUGAUGAACACUUUGCAUAUAUACACAUAAUUUCGUUUAAAUUAAAAAUAAUGCACGUUUUUUGUUAUUAUGAUCUUGAUUCUCUGGGUUAUUGAUCUCCAUAAGAGUUUUAGACCAAGUCUGCUGCGUGUCAUUUGAAAACUUCUCUUGUCCAAUAAAGGCUGACCAAUUGUUGGUAUAAGCAUCGGCAAGAACCCAUGUAACUUCUUCAGGCCGGUUUUUAAAGUCAAAUUUAAAACGUUUCGCUUUAGCACCGAUCUUCCUCCUCCUCUUUGGCUGUUGGUUGCUUGAUUCAGGGUCAGGAUUAGAGCUCCCAGCAGCAUCCUGCAUGUAUAUCAGUAUAAGUAUACACAUAGAUGUUGCAUGAAAUAUACUAAAAUUAAAAGCAACAAUUUAAAUACAAGCCGAAAGUAAGAUUUGAUUUUGAAAGCUCACUCACUUUGGUAAGGCCAGCUACCGGCGGUGUCUCAAGCUUCUUCCGGUCAUUUUCUUGCAAUGCGUUAGGAGUAAUUCGAUUAAUAUUUUGUCCUUUUGACUUGACUUAUUUCUAUUAGUAAUUUCAUAGUUUAUGUAAUCUACAUGAACAUUUAAUAUUAGGCGCGAAACCCAUUUUAUUCUUCCCUUUUUGUUUUGACAACUCAUGUAUGUAUGUAUGUAUCAUGUUUUUCUUUCUUUUCUUUUUCAAGAAAAAAAAAACGCGCGAAAUCACAUUUACGCUCUAUACCCCCCUCUGACCUAAAAGAAAACUUGAGAUCCAUAAAUUAGUUUGCUAAUGAAAAACAAUUAAUCAAAUUUAUGCAUUUCCUGCAUUUUUUUCUCUUACAGGUACCAUAUAGCUCAGUAUCAAGCAUUGACUACAACAAAACAAAAAAAAAAACCUAGAAAUAGUUAUAGAGAUAGCGAUAACAUACAGUAUCUUGCACUCCAUCCGUUGCUACACGCGAUGGAAGAGGCUGCAAUUCAUAAUUAUCCUUUAAUUAGUGUUCAAUGAUGGAAGCUAAAGAAGUCUACAAUAUAUGAAGGGUAGAUUAAGAGAUUACUUAAUAACCUGAAAUUGAAUUGAAUAGAGAGUGGAAUUUGGAUAGACAUAUAAUUUUCAGUAAGUUCAAAAAGGAAGCCAUCAGGAUGAAUCUUGAAUAAGAAUUUUCUGUUACCGAGCAAAUUGUCGAUUUAUUUCAUUUGAUUUUUUUUUUUGAAGGAAUUUGUCCAUUGCUCUCACAUCAUAUGUCUUGUAAAAUGUCAUGACUCGAAAAAAUGACUGUACUUUAUUUAAAUUAACUCGUGAAUGAAAGAAUCAUACUGCGGAACUAAUAUGAAUAAUAAUCAGAUAAAGCUUACAUGAACGAGAGAAUCAUGUACCUUAAUUCUUUCUUCCUCAAUUGUUGUUCUUUUUUGGUUAAUUCACAAACUUUUAAAACUUAGUAAAAUUAUUAAAUUAAAAAAAUGUUAAUUAAGCAAAAUUCCAUCAGAUCUGCGCCUCGAGCCAUCUAAUCUGUUGAUGAUCUUAUUAGAGAAUCAAGAAAAUGGCAUAGAGCAAGGAUAGGAGCGGAAUUAAUUACCCCAUCGGUCAUUUCUUGAGAAGGAAGUGUCGGCACUGAUGAUGAGGCCUUCAUGUCUCUACUUUGCCAACCAAUUAACCCUAGAAAUUGAGAAAGAGAGGUAGAUAGAGAGAGGAAACAGAUCUAGUGAGUGUCAAAUAAACUGGCUUAUUAUUGUGUCCUUUUUAUUGCAUGCAAAAGUUGGCAAUGUUUGCACAUUUGGUAAGUAAAGGUGGAGGAGAUUCAGAGUAAAUUUACUAAAGCAACGGCUACUCUCAUCAUUGUGGUCUAAAUUAAGUUAAUCAAGAUAUUAUGCUAUAAUUUUAUCUCGGCAGGCCCCAUUUUUUUUUUACUCUUUAUGUUUGAAAUACUGUAGAUUAAGUAGUCAUUUUACUAAUUAUAGGUAAAUGUUACAUUUUGGUUCUUUAACUUUGCUCUUUUUUUUGUUUGCCAUGUUGUUUGUAGAUUCUCUAUUAUGAAUCGUAUCAAAUGCAUAUAAUUCUGCCACUAAGACGAACUUUUUUUUUUCAAGAGAUAAAUUUGCAUGAGGGUAGAAAGAAAUUACAGUGUAUUUCUCAUUUGAAACUAUUUUUCUGGAAUAAAUUCCAUAUCUUAUUUUACCCAAGUCACAAUAGUACAUGGUUUGCCUUAUAUAUAGCGCAUAUGAGCUUCCAUUAUUUGAUGUUUGGUACCCAUAUCUCUAUGGAUUUGCAGUAUCUAAUUGCUUGGAUAAUUAAGUAAUUAAACAGUUUCUUUCUUUUUUAAAGUAGAAAUUCCAUAUGUAUUGUGUGUUUUUUUAUCAAUAAAAAAUUUUAUCAACUUUUCCGAUGCAUUGAAUAGGAAAAAAUCUAAACUAUAGAAAUUGUUGUUGUCAUGGGGUUUAUCACACAUCAGGAUUUAUUUGUGUUCAUGAUGAACACUUUGCAUAUAUACACAUAAUUUCGUUUAAAUUAAAAAUAAUGCACGUUUUUUGUUAUUAUGAUCUUGAUUCUCUGGGUUAUUGAUCUCCAUAAGAGUUUUAGACCAAGUCUGCUGCGUGUCAUUUGAAAACUUCUCUUGUCCAAUAAAGGCUGACCAAUUGUUGGUAUAAGCAUCGGCAAGAACCCAUGUAACUUCUUCAGGCCGGUUUUUAAAGUCAAAUUUAAAACGUUUCGCUUUAGCACCGAUCUUCCUCCUCCUCUUUGGCUGUUGGUUGCUUGAUUCAGGGUCAGGAUUAGAGCUCCCAGCAGCAUCCUGCAUGUAUAUCAGUAUAAGUAUACACAUAGAUGUUGCAUGAAAUAUACUAAAAUUAAAAGCAACAAUUUAAAUACAAGCCGAAAGUAAGAUUUGAUUUUGAAAGCUCACUCACUUUGGUAAGGCCAGCUACCGGCGGUGUCUCAAGCUUCUUCCGGUCAUUUUCUUGCAAUGCGUUAGGAGUAAUUCGAUUAAUAUUUUGUCCUUUUGACUGUAAGUGCUUCUCGACUUCUUUAAAUGAUCUGAACUGCUUGUUUGUUCCCGGCUUAUAGUAAAACUGCACAUUCAUUUGAAACACACUCGACAUUAGGCGCACCACAUGCUUUUGAAAUAAAUUUCUGUAACUAUACAUUCGAGCUAUUAAUUGAAAAAACAUACUCUGUACAUAAUAAUAAAAUAAAAUUAAUAAACAUAUCCCACAGAAUUAUAAGCAACAUGCAAUUUCAGCAUACAGCUCUCUAAUUUGAAAAAACAUACUCUGUACAUAAUAAUAAAAUAAAAUUAAUAAACAUAUCCCACAGAAUUAUAAGCAACAUGCAAUUUCAGCAUACAGCUCUCUAAUUUGAAAAAACAUACUCUGUACAUAAUAAUAAAAUAAAAUUAAUAAACAUAUCCCACAGAAUUAUAAGCAACAUGCAAUUUCAGCAUACAGCUCUCUAAUUUGAAAGUUAACUUUCAAAGCUAUGAAAACCUAGAUAAGAAGAAAUUGAGUGUUGGGGCCACCUGGUCAAUUUUUCCUUUGUAAUUAGCGUGGGUUCUUUGCCUCUGCUCGAACAUCCACCCUUCAGGCAAUCCAAUUCUUCUGCCGUCUAUCAGUGGACCUCUAGGGCCUUUUCCCCUUCUCGGCUUUUGAUCAAGAGCAGGCACCAUCCUCAAAGGCACAGCGUCAAUGAUCUGAAGCUCAUUGGGCGGAAUCAAAGUGUUAGUUUCUUCGGCUUUCGUCAUCUGCAAAAUGCAACAAAAAAAGAAAAAAGAGAAACGCAAACAAAUAUACAAUUAUAGAGAAAAUUGACUUAUCAUGGUGGUGAUAAAAGUGAAGAAAUAAAAUCUUUCUUGUCGUUUGAUUUAGUGGGUGCAUGUACGAUGUGGGGGAAUAGAGAGAGUGAAAUACAUUUUUUGAUGGCAAGUACAUGUAACUAGCAGUCCUUUAGUGUUAGGUAUUGUGUAAAUAAAAUAAAAUAAAUUAUACCUAGGACGUUGUAUAAGUUUAAAACAUGCAAUGAAUUUUAACGCAAAAAAAUAAAAAUAAAUAGAAGUUUACUUGUGGCCCAAAUAAACCUGUCUCUUCUAGAAUAAUCUAUGCAUACAUGUUAAAAUAUAAACUCGUGGGCAAUAACCCUAUCAUUAAUUUGAAAGUGACACAAGAAUAUUGUUGAUAAAGAAUGUUGUAGUGGUAGGUGGUAUUGGACAUCUUUCAACUCCAAAAGCUUGCUCACGAGAUAAGGUUUUUCAUCACACUUAUAAAGUCACUAUCAACCCCUUCCACAACCAACGUGGGAUAACCCAAAAAAUCUCCUCCUCACACAAAGGGCUUGGAUCAAAAGCAUAGACACCUAUUCUCUCAAUUAGAUUAUAUAGAUUGAGAUGUUGGUGAGCCUGGACUUUAAUAUUAGUAUUUGGUAGUCUCAAGCCUCUUUCAACCUCAAAAGUUAGGCCAAGGGGUGAGGCUUUCCCUCACACUUAUAAAGUCACUACCGGCCCCUUCCACAACCGAUAUGGGAUAAUUGAAACAAGUAGCAAUUAUAGUUUAUCUAAUUAGAAUAAAAAGGACUUUUGAAGGAAAAUGAAUUAAUAAGAAGAUUCUCUUGUAAUGAAAACCAUAAAAAAUAGGGAUAUACUAAAUACACAUUGAUUUUUAUCUUUCCAAUUGUAUAAGAUUGAUGUAAAUUUGUUUUUCCUACAAAAAUAACAAUAACAGUUAAAUCUCAUAUAUAUCUUAUGUUUCACUGGUAUUAAAUAACUCUUAGAUUGUCUAAUUCACAUAAAAAUCAAUAGUAAAUCCACAUUUAAGUAAUGCACCUCUAAAGAAAUAUUAAUUUCACAUUUACGUUCCCAAUCAUAUUAGCUAUCAUAAUUAAUAUUUUCUUUUUGCAGGAAUAAAAAAUUAAUAUAUAACUAAAUAAUGUAAAUUACGAAUCAACGUGAACAAAAGAUAAACUGUCUCCUACCAUACAUAACAUUCUAAAAUUUUUUACUAACUUGCCCAAGCAUAGGUAAUCUCGAUGUCAUAUGAUAGGUAAUAAUGAUUGACACAUAAUGACAUUCAAUAUUACACUAACGAUAAAUAGUAAACAACAUUGUAAUAUGAUCUCGAUAUAUAUAAAUUUUUUUUUAAUAACAAUCAUAUUAAGUAGUUUGAAACUAAAGUUUUUAACUGACUUAUUUCUAUUAGUAAUUUCAUAGUUUAUGUAAUCUACAUGAACAUUUAAUAUUAGGCGCGAAACCCAUUUUAUUCUUCCCUUUUUGUUUUGACAACUCAUGUAUGUAUGUAUGUAUCAUGUUUUUCUUUCUUUUCUUUUUCAAGAAAAAAAAAGAGCAAAAUUUGAAUCUUAAUCCUCUUGUUUUCAGCCUACAAAAUGUUACCAUUUUAACUAGAUGAUGCCCAUGAAUUACAAGAUGUUACCAUUUGCACACUCUUAAAUUACUAGUACUUCUUAAAAUACAGCAUUAGCAUUUAUCAAAGUAUAAUGCUUUUAGAUCUCCAUAUGUUUUCACUAACUAUUGUUUAAAGUAUUAUAUAUUUUAAAUUACUAUUAAUAAUUUUCGAAGAAAUUGCACAAACAUUAUGUAUUAUUCAUUUAUCUGUUGAUAAGAUGGUUAAAUAAAUAAUUUUAUAGGUUGCAAAUUUUAUCAUUUAAUAGAUGGAUGACACUUCACUUGAAAUGAGGCUCCUAAGAAAUAUAUUACUUAUGAAGCAUAAAUUAUUUGUAAAAGAAAUUAAAAUUAGCUUGAUUCAAAAACUUGAUUAGUUUCGUUGUAUAUAUAAUUUGGGGAGAUUGUCAAUUUUUAUCCCUAAUAUUUUUACUUUUUCCUCUUACUCUUAAAAGGCUUUCAACUUUAAUGAACAAAUAUGGUUGUUUUGUGGCUGCGAAAGGUUUUUCUAUGAGGAUUGUUUAAUGUAUCACAAAUAUUUUGUCAUCGUUAUUUUAUCUCAUGAAUCUUUUUUUUUUGUGUGUCUUCAACUUUGGAAAAAUUAAAUAACAGUGACAAAAUUAAAGGGUUUUAAAUUGAAAUAUCUAAAACAAAAAAUAAUAAUUGUAAGCCUACAUGUUGCUAUAUUUUAUUGUUUUAAAUUAUUUAGAAUUUAUCAAAAGUAAAAACUAAUUAAAAUUCGAAAGAAAAAAAGAGGUCUGAGAUUUGCGGUUGAAGGAAAUUUUAAUUUUUUAAAAGAAUGAGUUGGGCUUUAUUCUGCUGUACCGUACAUCCGCCUUGGCCGUACAGCAGGCGCAUAUGAGCUUCCAUUAUUUGAUGUUUGGUCCCCGUAUCUGUAAGGAUUUGCAGUAUCUAAUUGCUUGGAUAAUUAAUUAAUUAAAUAGUUUCUUUCUUUUUUAAAGCAGAAAUUCCAUAUCUCUUGUGUGUUUUGUUAUCAACAAAAUUUUUUAUCAACUUCUCCGAUGCAUUGAAUUGGAAAAAAUCUAAACUAUAGAAAUUGUUGUCAUCAAAAAUCAGGAUUUAUUUGUGUUCAUGAUGAACACUUUGCAUAUAUGCACAUAACUUUGUUUAAAUUAAAAAAAAAAUCCACUUUAUUUGUUAUUAUGAUCUUGAUUCUAUGGGUUAUUGAUCUCCAUAAGAGUUUUAGACCAAGUCUGCUGUGUGUCAUUUGAAACCUUCUCUUGUCCAAUAAAAGCUGACCAGUUGUCGGUCCGAGCAUCGGCAAGAACCCAUGUAACUUCUUCAGGCCGGUUUUUAAAGUCAAAUUUAAUACGUUUAGCUUUAGCACCAAUCUUCCUCCCCCUCUUUGGCUGUUGGCUACUUGAUUGAGGGUCAGGGUUAGAGCUCCCAGCAGCAUCCUGCGUGUAUAUGUAUACUCAAGGAUGUUACAUCGAAUAUAAGAAAAUUGAAAACAACAAUUUAAAUACUAGCCAAAGAUGAGAUGUGAUUUUGAAAGCUCACUCACAUUGGUAAGGCCAACUACUGGUGGUGUCUCAAGCUUUUUCCGGUCAUUUUCUUGCAAUGCGUUAGGAGUAAUUGGAUUAAUAUUUUGUCCCUUUGACAGUAAGUGCUUCUCGACUUCUUUAAAUGAUCUGAACUGCUUGUUUGUCCCCGGCUCAUAGUAGAACUGCACAUUCAUUUGAAACACAGUCAGCAAUCAGGCGCACCACAUGCUUUUGAAAUAAAUUUCUGUAACUAUACAUUUGAGCUAUUAAUUGAAAAAUACUCAGUACAUAAUAAUUAAUUAAAAUUAAUAAACAUGUCCCACAGAGUUAUAAACAACAUGCAAUUUCAGCAUACUGCAGCUCUCUAAUUUGAAAGUUAACUUUCAAAGCUAUGAAAACCUAGAUAAGAAGAAAUUGAGUGUUGGAGCAACCUGGUCAAUUUUUCCUUUGUAAUUAGCGUGGGUUCUUUGCCUCUGCUCGAACAUCCACCCUUCAGGCAAUCCAAUUCUUCUGCCGUCUAUCAGUGGACCUCUAGGGCCUUUUCCCCUUCUCGGCUUUUGAUCAAGAGCAGGCACCAUCCUCAAAGGCACAGCGUCAAUGAUCUGAAGCUCAUUGGGCGGAAUCAAAGUGUUAGUUUCUUCGGCUUUCGUCAUCUGCAAAAUGCAACAAAAAAAGAAAAAAGAGAAACCCAAAUAAAUAUACAAUUACAGAGAAAAUUGACUUAUCAUGGUGGUGAUAAAAGUGAAGAAAUGAAAUCUUUUGUGUCGUUUGAUUUAGUGGGUGCAUGUACGACCUGGGGGAAUAGAGAGAGUGAAUUACUUUUUUUUAUGGCAAAUACAUGUAACUAUCAGUCCUUGAGUGUUAGGUAUUGUGUAAGAAAAACAAAAUAAAUUAUACCUAGGAGGUUAUAUAAGUUUAUAACAUGCAAUGACUUUUAAGGCAAAAAAAAAAAAGUUUAUGUAUGGCUGAAAUAAACCUAUCUCUUCUAGAUUAAUUUAUGCAUGCAUGUUAAAAUAGAAACUUGUGGGUACUAAUCCUAUCAUUAAUUUGAAAGGGACAUAAGAAUAUUGUUGAUAAAGAAUGUAGUAGUGUUAGGUGGUCUUGGACAUCUCCCAACUCCAAAAGUUAGUUCAAGAGGUAAGGUAUUCCCUCAUAGUUAUAAAUUCACUAUUAGACCCAUCCGCAAUCGACGUGGGAUAACCUCAACAAUCUCCUCCUUCCACAUUGGGCUUUGGGUUAAAAGCAUAGAUAUUCGUUCUUCCGAUUAGAUUGUUGGUGAACCUGGACUCUGAUGCCGAUAUUAGGUGGUCUUGGGUCUUUCUCAACUCCAAAAGUUAUCUCAAGAGAUAAAGCUUUCUCCCACAUUUAUAAAGUCACUACCAGCCCCUUUCACAAUCAAUAUGGGAUAACCCCAACAAGUAGCAAUUGUAACUUUAUCUAAUUAAAAUGAAUAAAACUUUUGAAAGAAAUAGAAUUAAUAUUAAUUUGAAAGCAACUUAGGAAUAUUGUUAAUAAAGAGUGUAGUAGCAAUUGUAAGUUUAUCUAGUUAGAAUAAAUAAAACUUUUGAACGAAAAAGAAUUAAUAAGAAGAUUCUCUUAUAAUGAAAACCUUAAAGAAAAAGGAUAAGUUAAAUACACGUUUAUUUUUACCUUUCUAAUUGUAUGAGAUUUAUACAGUUUUUUUUCAUAUAAAAAUAACAUUAACAGUUAAAUCUCAUAGAUAUCUUAUGUUUCACUGGUAUUAACUCUUAGAUUGUCCAUUUCACAUAAUAAUUAGUAGUAAAGUUACAUUUAAGUAAUUCAUCUCUAAAGAAAAUAUUAAUUUCAUAUUUAUGUUCCCAAUCAUAUUGGCUAUCAUAGUUCAUAAUUUCUUUUUGCAGCAAUAAACAAUUAACAAAUAACUAUAUAUUGUAAAUUAUGAAUCUACAUGAACUAACAAUAAAUUGACUCCUACCAUACAUAACAUUCUACAAUUUUUAACUAACUUGCCCAAGCAUAGUUAAUCUCGAUGUCAUAUAACAAGUAAUGAUUGACACAAAAUGACAUUCAAUCUUACACUAACGAUAAAUAGUAAACAAUAUUGUCAUAUGAUCUCAACUUAUAUACAAUUUUUUUUUGUAACAAUUAUAUUAAGUAGAUUUUAACUAACCUAUUUUUCUAGUAAUUUCUUAAUUUAUGUAUUCUACGUGCACAUCUAAUAUUAGGUGCGAAACCUAUUUUAUUCUUUCCUUUUUUGUUUUGACUACGCAUGUAUGUAUCAUGUUUCUUUUUCAUCUUUUCAAGAAAAAACGCACGAAAUCACAUUUACACUCUGUGCCCCCCAUUGACCCAAAAGGAAACUUGAGAUCCAUAAAUCAGUUUGCUAUUGGAAAAGAAAAAACGCGCGAAAUCACAUUUACGCUCUAUACCCCCUUCUGACCCUCAAAAAAAAAAACUUGAGAUCCAUAAAUUAGUUUGCUAAUGAAAAACAAUUAAUCACAUUUAUGCAUAUAGCUCAGUAUUAAUUAUUGACAAUAAAAAAAGUCUAUAAAUAGUUACAGAGACAACGAUAACAUGCCGCAUCUUGCAAUCCAUCUGUUGCUACACGUGAUGGAAGAGGCUGCAAUUCAUAAUUAUCCUUUAAUUAGUGUUCAUUGAUGGAAGCUAAAAAAGUCUACAAUAUAUGCAGGGUAGAUUAAGAGAUUACUUAAUAACCUGAAAUUGAAUUGAUAGAGAGUGGAAUUUGGAUAGAGAUAUAAUGUUCAGUAGGUUCAAAAAGAAAGCAAUCAGGAUGAAUCAUGAAUAAGAAUUUGUUGUCAUCGAGGAUAUUGUCGAUUUAUUUAUUUAUUUUUUGUUUUUUUUUUGUUUUAAGGAAUUUGUCCAUUUCUCGCGCCAUAUGUCUCCUAAAAUGUCGGGACUAGAAAAAAUGACGGUAAUUUAUUUAAAUUAACCAAUGAAUGAGAGAAUCAUACUGCGGAACUAAUAUGACUAAUAAUCAAAUAAAGCUUACAUGAACGAGAGAAUCAUGUACCUUAAUUCUUUAUUCCUCAAUUGUUGUUCUCGGGUUAAUUCACAAACUUUUAAAACUUAGUAAAAUUGUUAAAUUAAAAAAAAAUGUUAAUUAAGCAAAAUUACAUCAGAUAUGUGCCUCAAGCCAUCUAAUUUGUUGAUGAUCUUAUUAGAGAAUCAAGAAAAUGUCAUAUAGAAAGGGGAUCAUGAUCCUCUCUUGAUUUGAGCGCUCUAGAUCUUUUAAAGAUCUUAUGCCACAUGUGUUUUAGUGUUAGUGAAUGAUUGAGAUUUAACUACUUUUUCUUUUUAAUUUAUUAACCACCAAUUAUAUUAACAAAAUUUACUCAGAUAAAGAUCAGAUCAGGAGAGGAUCCCGAUUCAUAGCAAGGAUAUGAGCCCCAUCGGUCAUUUGCUUUGAUGCCAAUGUCGGUAUUGAUGAUGAGGCCUUCAUGUCUCUAGUUUUCCAACCAAUUAACCUUGGAAAUUAAGAAAGAGAGGUGGAUAGAGAGAGGAAACAGAUCUAGUGAGUGUCAAAUAAAUUGGCUUAUUGUUGUGUCCUUUUUAUUGCAUGCAAAAUUUGGCAAUGUUUGCACAUUUGGCAAGUAAAGGUGGAUGAGAUUCAGGUGGGAAAAUUUGCUAAAGCAACGGCUACGCUCAUCAUUAUGGUCCAAAUUAAGUUUAUAUAGGCAUUAUGCUAUAAUUUUAUCUAGGCAGACCCCUUUUUUUUUCCCCUGUUUUGAAAUACUGUAGGAUUUAGUAGUCAUUUUACUGUAAGGAUUUACAGUAUCUAAUUGCUUGCAUAAUUAAUUAAUUAAAUAGUUUCUUUCUUUUUUAAAGUAGGAAUUCCAUAUCUCUUGUGUUUUUUUAAUUAACAAAAAUUUUUAUCAACUUCUCCGCUGGUUUGAGUAGGAAAAAAUCUAAAGUCUAGAAAUUGUUAUUAUCAUGGGUUUUAUCACUGCUGUUUGUGAAAAUAAGUUAACUCAUCUGUCAAAAGUUUCAAAAUCUCUUUGCCUCAAUGAUCUUUAAUUACAAUUUGUAUAAGGUGCUUUAAAUUUACUAAAUAAGAGAAAUUCUAGAAUACUUCUAAAGUAUUGCAACCAAUUGAUGCAUGCACGAUAUGUGUAAUUAAUUUUAAUAUAACCACCACUUAUAUAAUGAUUUUUUAAAAUAAAUGUACACAUUCUGAAGAAUUUGAAAGAUAAAACACAAAUUUUUAUUGAAGAAACCUCAAGGAUAAAACACAAUUCAUACUCUCAGAGGCUUACUUAUGUUUUGCUUCUCCUUAGAUUUGAUGCAUAAACCAAAGGGAAGAGGGGGUAUAUAUAACUAAAACAAACCAAUCAUAAUCAUUCAUUUAUUCAACUACCACACAAAUCCUCACUGUUUAUCAAAACCUACCAUUCACCUACUACACCAACCACACCAAUCUUACUUAUCACCCAAGCUCAUCUAACACCUCCCCUUAAACUGGUUUUAUAACACCCAAUAAAUUUUUUAACCUGAAGAAAUCUUCUUGCUUUAGUGGCUUGGUGAGAAUGUCAGCAAUUUGAUUAUGUGAUUUGACAUACUUGUAUUUCAUUUUUUCUAAUGCACUCUUGUAUGAAAUGAUAACGAGUAUCGAUAUGUUUGCUUUGAUCAUUGAAGAUUGGUUAGAGCAAUUACUGGUUUGUUAUAGACACAAAUCUUAGUUGGAUCUACUUCUUCACCUUCAUCAUGUUUGGAUAACUUGACUUCGUAUUCGACUGGCGUGCUUAUAGGCUUGCAAUCAUUCAUCUUGAACUUCUUGAUAAUCUCUUCUGCAUAGCUUUCUUGGGAGAUAAAUAUGCCUUUUUUUUCUAACUUGACUUCAAUGUCGAGGUAAUGUGCUAUCAAUCCGAUGUUAGUCAUCUCAAACUCUUUAAUCAUCACUCUCUUAAACUCUUCAAAUAAGCUUAUAUUACUUCUAUUAAAGAUGAGAUCAUCCCUAUACAUGCACAUGAUUAAAAUGUCUUUAUCAUUUUCUUUGACAUAGAGAGCAUGUUCAUAUGGGCAUUUGGUGCAGUCGUUCUUUUGAAAAUACUUGCCAAUUCUAUUAUUCCAUGCCUUUGGUGCUUUUUUUUAGCCCAUAAAGAGUUUUCUUCAAUAUCAGAACUUUGUGUUCGUAUCCUUUCACAUAUAGCCUAAUAGUUGUUCGAUAUAGACUUCCUUUUUAAAGAAUCUAUUUAAGAAAGCACACUUCACGUCUGUUUGAAGAAUCAUCCAUUUUUUCUGAGCAGCCAAAAAAAUAAUAGUUUCAAGUCAGGCUACAAGAGAAAAUACCUCAUUGUAAUUAUUGCUAGUUUUUUUACUAUCGCCUUUUGCAAUUGUCCUUACUUUGUCCCUUUCAAUUUCUCCUUUGGCAUUUCUCUUCGUUUUGUAUACCCAUUAGACACCGAUCGCCUUAUAACCUUUAAUAAGAGUAGUAAGUUCCUAAGUGUCAUUCUUUACAAUGGCUUUGAUUUUUUUCAUCUAUUGCGAUUCUCUAUUUCUCAUCUUGUACAGUUUCUUGGAAGUUGAUUGGCUCAUAAUUAGCAAAGAGACAAAAAAGAAUGAGAUUAUCAAGUCUCUUCAUUACCUCAUAGAGAUCUUGUAAAUUUCUUGUGCGCGUCCUAUCUCUCUUUUCUAAAAAUGCUGGUGAUGAGUCUCCAUAAGUGCUUAUUAUUGGUAAAUUAAAUUAAGUUAUGGGUUCUUGUUGUUCUCCUGCUUGCUGCUUUGAUGUUUGCACGUCUUAUUUAAAGGGAUAAAAGUUAAAGUCACAAGCAUUACAGCCAAAAUCUCACUCUCAUUCUUCAUUAAAAAUUACAUAUUUGCUGAUCAAUCUUUCCAUUGUUUGGAUUGUACAGUUUGUAUCAUUUGGAUUUGUUAUCAUAGCGAAUGAAGAUAAACUUCUCGCUUUUGUCAUCUAGCUUAGUUCAUUUCUCGUCUUUUCUCUUUUGGUGCAUGUACAUGAGCUAUGCUUUUGAAAACUCUUAGAUGUGAGAUGCCUGGCUUUUUGCCACUCCAUACUUUUUGUGGUGUCUUGCCCCAUACAUUUCUUAUUGGAGAUCUAUUAGAUAGGUGGACUGCAUAUGCAAAAACUUUUGCCUAAAACUCUUUAGGCAAUCUGUUAUAGUGCAAUUUAUGCACUAGUUUUGCAUUGUUUACUUCCCUUAAUUCGAUAUUUUGCACUUAAUAAUAGUGAUUUACUUGUGUUUUACUUUUGUAGGUGUAAUUCUAUUGAUUAGCGAUAAAAUUGAACUACAAGAUGAUGUUUAAGGAUGAUUGUUCUCUUGGAGAAAUUAUGAGCGUCAGAAGAACUUUGUUGAUAAGGCGUGGGCGCGUGCUGUCAACUAUAGACCUGCAGUUUUUAGUUUAACAUGUUUUGUAUUUUUAGUUAUUUUUGUAAUCACGAAUUUAAUAUUUCAAAUAUCAGUAUUUUAUUUUAAAUAGAACUUUAGAGGAGAAGAGAGAGAGAGUAUUUAAGGGAGGAAUCUAUUAUGAAAAAGGGGGAUUGGCAAAAAGAAAAAAACCCUAGAUUUAAAUUUUUCUCUUCUCUCUAUGAAGAACUAAAUCUAUUAUUCUGGUUGAAGGUUAAUGAAGCUUUGAUUCAUCACUAUAGUGAGAUCUUUCUUAUAUUUUAAUUGUUUUAUUACUUUUUGGGUAUUUGUUUAUGCUCUGAAUUAUUUUCAUGAUUAUGUUUGUUAAUAAGGUAAUUGGCCACUAUUUAAUUAUCAACUUAAUCUAUUGACAAUUAAAGGAUUCAUCGUAUGAAGAUUUUAAUGUUGGUGAUAAAUAGCAUAGCAGUGAGUUGUGUUAUGAGAAUAAACAAUCUAAUUUAAAUGAAUCAUCGUGUGCGUUUGUUGAUUAGGAUUUGGGUCUCUCUGAUUUUUCAGGCUAUCAAUUGAUUAAAUCCUAUGAUCGUAUUUAGGGUUGUCUAUUAAUUAAGGAAAUAACCAACGAUCGUACCUUAGUUAUCGACUAGUUAAGAAGAGAUUGGCUAUUAGAGGGUCUCAGUAGCUAUAACCGAUUUAUUCAUAAGUAGUAAUAAUUUAUAUUUGAAUCAAUGAUCAGUAGUCGAAUCAAGCUGAGUUAAUUCCUUCAACCAGAGCUUUCUCCAAUUUGAAUUACAACUUUAAUUUGCAUUCUUGUUAUUUUAAUUUGAUUUUUAUUAUUGUCAACAAUUCCCCCAUUUUACGUUUUACAUUUUAAAAGGAUUUAAAUAAUUACCGAUAUAUGUGGACACGACCCUGCUCAAUCACUAUACACAAUUUAUUUAGAGCAGGUAUUUAUUUUUGCUGGCUUCAACAACCAUCACAAUCUUUUGCUUUUGAGCAUGUUCUUGCCAUAUCGAGGAUAAUUAUAUUCUUCUUUUCCACCAUACCAUUUUGUUAGAAGGAUUAAGGAACUGUCAAAGGGCAUCGAAUUCUAUUUGCUUUGCAAAACUCUAGGAAUUUUUUGGAAAUGAAUUCUCCUCCUCGAUUAGAUCUUAUGACUUUAAGUUGGUAUCCACUUUCUUUCUCGACUGUAGCUUUGAACCUCUUGAAAGUUGUAAAAACUUUUAACUUUUGCUUUAAAAAAACACUUAAGUUUUUCUUAAAAAAUCAUCAAUAAAAAAAGAAAUUAGAUAUUUUUACUGAGAGCGAUUGGCUUAAUUGAUCUGUUCACAUCAAUAUGAAUAAGCUUGAGUGGCUUCUGGGCUUUUGAGUUUGACUUCUUUGGAAAGUUUUUCCUAAACUACUUGUCAAGUAAACACCCUUUACAAAGUUGAUUGGACGAUUAAUUGAAGGUAUGCAUUUUACCAUGUUCUUUUUUUUUUAAUGGUUGCUCUAAUCCUCUAAAGCUGAGAUAUCCAUAUCGAAGAUGCCAAAUCCAAGAUGAAUCUUUGUGACAAGCUUUGAUACAUGUUGGGUAAUUUUUAUUGCUAUAGAUUUCAAUGUACAAGUCUAAACAACAACUAAUAUACUGAUGAGUAUUCAGUUGCUAUAGGUGUUUGAUGAAUGAAACACAAAUUUUUAUUAAAGAAAGUCAUCUGGACUUGUAUCUUGUAUGGUAUAAUUGACUGGAAAUAUUUUUUUCUUUAAUUUUAAUUGUUAACUAAGGACAAGAUGGGCAUUUUAAUUUACCAAACAGGACCCUGGGAUAGAGAACAACCCGUAUCUGGGCUUUGUUUACACAUCGUUUCAAGAGCGCGCCACUUUCAUAUCACACGGCAACACGGCCCGCCUGGCGAAAGAGGGAGGUGAUCCAGUGCUCGCGCGCAUAUGUGGAACCAUUGCAUCAGAUGACAAGCGCCACGAAAACGCCUUCGCUAGGAUCGUCGAAAAGCUCCUUGAAGUGGACCCCACGGGCAUGGCCGCUCACUUGAUGUACGAUGGGCAUGACCCACAGCUGUUUGCGCAUUUUGCGAUAGUGGCUCAGCAGCUUGGCGUGAAUACGGCACAUGACUGCGGAUAUUUUAGAGUUUUUGAUUGGACAGUGGGGAUUGGAGAAGCUGGAAGGGUUGACGGGUGAAGGGAGACGUGCACAAGAGUUUGUGUGCGGCUUAGCGCCUAGGAUUAGGCGACUGCAGGGGUUAGCCGAUCAGCAAGCCAAGAAGCUGAAGCUGUCUCGCGUUAAGUUUAGCUGGAUUUUUAAUAGGAAACUCAGCCUGUAAAAAUUAAAAAUUAAAAACCCCAAAAAAAAAAAAAAUUCUUUUACAAUGUAUUUCCCUAAUGUUAUGCAUACAUCAUGGUACUUUUUAGCAUAUAUAGAAUGUAAUCAAACUUAAUUAAGAUCUUGGGUGAAAAUUCUAGUUUUCAUUUUACUUUCUUAGUUUCUGAUAAUGCUUGAUUUCAUCAUAACACGCAGGUACAUAUAUUCUAAUCGACUCGUUGAGCCCGGGUUUGCUCCUUGACCAUCACUCCCUCAUAUGUCCAUGGUUGCACUCCUUCUUCUUCCUUUAAUUUGCUCUAUUGACGGCAUCUUUUCGUUUAGCUCCCCACAAACGAUGCCAAAAUAUUGAUGCAACAUUCUAGUUGAGCUUUAUAGCGACCAAGAAACCACUUCAACACCUAAAUUUAUAAGUGAUAGGGGGCGAUUUUGAGCUGUUUCCUCUCCUAAUGAACAAGAUCUUGGGGCUUCGAGCUUCUUAUAAAAAAAACUCCUACACACACAAUCACCCAGUCAUAGGAUACUGAAGAUUUUUCUGGUGUAAACCCUCUGACUCUCAAGUUAUCGAUCUGGGCUUAUUUUAGAACAACUAUACCACCAAUCCUAUGGCUUAAUUAUAAUUUAAUUUUUUAAUUCUAGAAAGAUUUGCUUUUAAAACUCCAAGAAAUAUCAAAAAGAGAAACUAUAAAGUAAAGGGAAAUUAAGAUAUAGACGAGUUCAAUGUCUAAGUGUCUAACCCCAUUACCUUUAUCCAUUAUACUUUUUAUACCCAGCUUGAAUAUUCGGCCUCCGUCACCCUACAAUCGUUAUUGAAUCAUUUGUACCAUUGUGGGUAAAUAGGCGUCACAACCGUUGUUGAGUGGGUUUUGUGCCCGAACUCUCUAGAAGAAGUUCACAUGCUAAUAACUUCAAUUGACCAAGUAUUUUAUCCAACUCGACCAAGGUCUCUCCUCGUUCUCCCCUAUCUAGCUAUACUAGAGCAAUCAGCUAACAACUCCUUGAAAAUGAGCUUCCACGAGGAGUUACUUUUCGCCGAAGGAAGUUGUUGGGUGAUUUCUAUUGCUAUAGGUUUCAAUGUGCAAUUGUACACAAUAAGUAAUAUGCUGAUGAAUAUUCAGAUCGUCUCCACAAGGAUUGAUAUGAUCAGAUUUUGUACAACAAUCGUAACAAUAGAAUUUCAAUCUGAAUUAAAAUAGAAUAAUUAAUGAAACUAAGUAACUAACUAAAUUAUAAUAAAUCCAAUAAAUAAAAUACAAUAAAAAAAUUAGCCAAACACAAGGAUGUAAUUAACGGGGAAGGGAGUAGUUGAGUGAUUAAACUCAAUCAAUGGCAUUAGACUUUUUUUUUCAAUUAUAGUACCGUUACUAUAACAUCUACUACAGUACUGGGUAAAAUCUCUCAUGCAUCCUUAAUUGUCGCUUGUUGGAUACCUUAUACCUUAAUGCAACCUAACAGUAACCAAUUGUUAUGCUAUCAUUAGAUAUAACAUUAUACAUUCUAGGUUCUGUUUACUCUACAAGGUGAAUCUUUAUGUCUAGUUCUUCACUAAUUUUAGUCAAGUAUGACCCUAUUUAAAUAAAGAUUAACUCAACUUGGGAAACCCAAUCUAAAACCAUUUACUGUAUUAAUUUAUUCCACUAAGUCAGAUUUUUUUUAAAUUCCUUCUUAAAUAGUAUGCAUUAAAUGGGUGGUCAGCCAAAAUACGGAAUUGCAAUAAUUAAAAUUAAGACAAAUUGCUAUAACAAAUACAGAGCAAUACACAUAUGUCAGUCAAAUAACCAUUAAGCUUGUUUCUCAUUCAACCACAUCAAAGUUCAGUUAAUGAUUUAUGAUAAACUAGUAAAUAAAAUUGUUUUAGCCAUCAAGUACAUUCCCAUAAAUAAAUAAAAACAAGAAAAUAAGAAAAAUAAUUAAGCUCUCCUUAGUCUUGGUGAUUUCUCCUCCGUUUUCUCCUUGAAUCCUCUAUUGCAGCCCUUCAAUCUCUCUUAUUCUCUGUUUUCUUUUCGUUUUUCUCUGUUAUUUUUCUUUCUUUUCAUGCGCGCUCCUUUUAUAACUUGGAAUUAAGGCACUACAAGUAUAUGACGUGUAUCUUCCAUUUUUGGAAAUUUUAUAUUGCAAUCUUUUAGUUAUUGCGCACGAAAUCCAGUUUGUUAUUGCUCCAAGAUUGCUGCAGCAACGACUACAACAACUUCAGUCAUUCAAACUUGUUUUAUUCAUCUACAACUAAGUUAUUUUGUCAUCUUUGCAAGUCUGUUGCAGUAACAUUCCAUCCCCAAAACUUGAGCUUUUCGAUCACGUACAGUCAUGCACAUAAUCUAAGCACAUAAUGAUCUAAACCAAACUCAAUUCAUUAAAAAUAAACUAAAAUAGAUGCUAAUGCAAAAUAUAACUAAAAUACGAUAACAACACAUCAUUCACUUUCGAAAUAAUAUUUAUUUGAGUCUAAAAAUGUCACGAUAACACUUUACACCCCAAACAACUAUUUUUUAAGUUUAUUUGAAAAAUAUCUUGUAGAGGCCUUUAGUAACUUGAAGAAAUGCAUUUCAAAUAUUUUUUUAAUUGAUUAUCCGUAUUCAAAUCGUGGAAAAAGUAACAUGAUUAAAAUAUCAAUUUGGACUUUUUCUGAGGGAAAAAAAAAAAAGAAACUUGUGGAACACUCUUAAUUAUCAAUUUCUCUCUCCGGUCAUAAGAGCAAAAUUUGAAUCUUAAUCCUCUUGUUUUCAGCCUACAAAAUGUUACCAUUUUAACUAGAUGAUGCCCAUGAAUUACAAGAUGUUACCAUUUGCACACUCUUAAAUUACUAGUACUUCUUAAAAUACAGCAUUAGCAUUUAUCAAAGUAUAAUGCUUUUAGAUCUCCAUAUGUUUUCACUAACUAUUGUUUAAAGUAUUAUAUAUUUUAAAUUACUAUUAAUAAUUUUCGAAGAAAUUGCACAAACAUUAUGUAUUAUUCAUUUAUCUGUUGAUAAGAUGGUUAAAUAAAUAAUUUUAUAGGUUGCAAAUUUUAUCAUUUAAUAGAUGGAUGACACUUCACUUGAAAUGAGGCUCCUAAGAAAUAUAUUACUUAUGAAGCAUAAAUUAUUUGUAAAAGAAAUUAAAAUUAGCUUGAUUCAAAAACUUGAUUAGUUUCGUUGUAUAUAUAAUUUGGGGAGAUUGUCAAUUUUUAUCCCUAAUAUUUUUACUUUUUCCUCUUACUCUUAAAAGGCUUUCAACUUUAAUGAACAAAUAUGGUUGUUUUGUGGCUGCGAAAGGUUUUUCUAUGAGGAUUGUUUAAUGUAUCACAAAUAUUUUGUCAUCGUUAUUUUAUCUCAUGAAUCUUUUUUUUUUGUGUGUCUUCAACUUUGGAAAAAUUAAAUAACAGUGACAAAAUUAAAGGGUUUUAAAUUGAAAUAUCUAAAACAAAAAAUAAUAAUUGUAAGCCUACAUGUUGCUAUAUUUUAUUGUUUUAAAUUAUUUAGAAUUUAUCAAAAGUAAAAACUAAUUAAAAUUCGAAAGAAAAAAAGAGGUCUGAGAUUUGCGGUUGAAGGAAAUUUUAAUUUUUUAAAAGAAUGAGUUGGGCUUUAUUAGACUUAUACAUGUCCUUAAAUCUAAGUCUCUCUAAUAAUUAAACUAUGAAUACAACAGUAAGGCGUUUGACAAGGAUAAUGAUGGGGUGCUAAUAGCUCUACGUAAACAUUUUAUCUUCCAUUUAUUUGGGCUCAAACAUUCCGGCCGGUAUCUAUUUAAACCUCUCUCCCACGGCAACCAUGAAAACAGUUAUCCCUCCCUAUAUUCUGGUCUCUCCAAAAAAUCAUAAUUAAAAUUUUUAUUAUCUCCCGACUCCUCUAUCUCAACAUAUGUCCUCACCCACUCGCAACACACACUCAUCCACAACACAAUUUUUUUCUUUUUCAAGUUUUAAUUUAACGGUACCUCAAUAUCCUCCCUAUCCAUGUAAGCGGAAUUGCGGAUCUUUUUUUUUUUUUGAUACAAUGGAGCCUAGUAAAGAUUAGGACAAAACAGAGCAGGGAAUAGUAUUCCCAUAGAUAUCAUUACAUAACCAAUAUCCAAUACCCUCUGGUGGGUUAUCAAAAUCAUGAAAAUCGAGAGGUAAAAAUCCUACCAACUUGGCCAUGAAAUCAGCAGCAAAAUUAGCUUUCCGAUAUAUAUGUUUUAUUGUAAUUUGCCAAUCUCUAUUCAUCAACUCCUUGAUGGCAUUGAUAAGUGAAAGAUGUGCAUUAGGCUUUGUUCUUGUGGAAGAGAUAAGUUGAAAGAUACAUUGGCUGUCCACCUCUGCCACCAAGUAACGGAUACCCCGAUCCCACGCAAGAUGAAGACCUUGAAACAAAACCCAUAAUUCAGCAGAAGUCACCGAACAAAGACCAGUGUUCAUGCCAUAUCCAAAUUGCCACUUGCCAGAGCAGUCCCUCACCAAUCCUCCAACACUUGCCAAACCAUUUUUUAAUCGAGAACCAUCUGUAUUCAAUUUGAAAAAGGAUUCCGAGGGAGCUUGCCAGCCAAUUUCUUUGAUGAUUUUACUAGUACGAACAACAUUGAGACCUGCUCUUGCAAUAUGGAUAUCAUGAACCCACGAUCUAAUUUCCGUGACCAUCUGAGUGCAGCAAGAGGCAUUGUGUGUGAAGAUAAAUUGGUUGCACCAGAACCAAAUUUUCCAAACAGCAACGCCAAAUAAGCAGGCCCAUUCAUCCACAACCUUAUUGAUACCAACCUUGCCCAAGUUAAAGCAUAACCAGUCACGGAGAUGAAGAGAGAAAAAGGAUUGCUUGAGCAUAUCUGGAGCCAAAUGAUUCCAAAUUUUUUUUGCCACAACACAAUCACGAAGAGCAUGGAUUACAUCUUCCUUUUCCUUUCCACAAUAUUCACAAUCCAUAGAAAUUUGGAUGUGCCUCUUAAAUAGCUCCUCUUUUGUUUUAAUUCUUCCAUGCAUUACCAACCACAAGAAAAUGCGAAUCCUCUGGGGUCAUUUCCAAUGCCAAAUCAAUUUCCAUAUAUGGGCAUCAUUAUUGGAGAUUGGAUUAUUAAGGGAGAUAUAAGCUGACUUAGAUGUGAACUUGCCUGAUUUUGAGUGAACCCAAAAAGGUUGAUCCUCGUUGUUGUCAUCCGAAGGUGGUUUGAUUGCUACAAUCUGGAGAAGAAUCUGGUUGGGAAGAAAAUGACCAAACAUACUCCAAUUCCAAUUUCCCUUAAUAUCCACAAAAUCCGCCACACAUUUAUUCUUCAAUUCAUCCGGUAAUUGAGUUAUAGUAUGAUUAGCAAUGAGAAGCUCUUCCGAAACCCAACUUUGAUGCCAAAAAUUUACCUUAUUCCCUUUUCCAAUCGACCAUCUCGUGCCCUGCAACACAUACCCCCAUAUUCUGCUUAUGCCUUUCCAGAGAUAAGAGCCGCGUUUAUUCUCAAGCUUGGAGGGAAUAAAAUCUGAACAAGCCCAUAUUUUGAUCUCAAAACCCGAAUCCAGUGACUGUGAGUAGAGGUUAGCACAUUCCAUCCAAUUUUCAUGAGGAGAACAUUGUUCAUGUUUGUAAGAUUUUUAAAACCUAGACCACCUUCAGCUUUUGGAGAACAUAUCAUUUUCCAAUUAAUCAAACUGAGUUUAUGGCUUCCAUUCUUGCUCCCCCAAAUAAAUCUUUGAGAAAUCCGAUCAAUUUUAUCCAAAAUUCCAUGAGGGAUCCUUGUUGUUUGCAUGGAAAAAAUGGGGAUCGCUUGAAUUACCGAUUGAGCUAGAGUAAUUCUCCCAGCAAGGAAGAGAUGCAUUGCAUUCUAUCCAAACAGAUUUUUAUCAACAUUAUCCACAAUUUCUUAAUAAGUGGCUUUUGUCACUCUAUUGUGAAGUAAAGGCAUUCCAAGAUAUUUUCCAAGAUUAUCCGUAGCGGUAAAUCCCAAUGAAUCACUGAUUUUCCUUGCCUUUUCUGCAAUAACAUUCUUUGAGAAAUAAACUCGAGUAUUCUGUUUGCUAAUCAACUCUCCCAAAAAUAUUCAGCACAUUAUUGAUCACAUGGGCUUGGUUGCAAGAAGCCUCGGUGAGAAGAAGUAGGUCAUCUGCAAAAAAGAGGUGAGUAAGAGGAACAUCAUUUCUCGAGAGACGUAUAGGACACCAAUUUCCAUUUCAUACUGCCAAAUUAAUUGCAUGACUAAAGCGCUCGAUACAUAGAGCAAAAAUAUAAGGAGAAAGAAGGUCACCCUGUCGGAUUCCCCUAAACGGAGUGAAUUCUUCAGUGAUCUCCCCUUCCUAUAAAAUUUGCAUUCUAGCCGUAGUAAUGCACUCCAUUGUAAUUCGAAUAAACUCUUUAGGCAGUCCAACAUCCUUAAGAGUAUCAUGAAUGAAGUCCCAACUAAGCCGAUCAUAAGCUUUCUCAAGGUCCACUUUGAUAGCCAUCUGCCCGAUUUUUCCUUUUUUGUUUCUCAUGGUGUGGAUAAUUUCUUGCGCCAUCACAAUAUUCUCUAUAAUUUGCCUUCCGGGAACAAAGCUUGUCUGGGUUGGUCUGAUCAACUCCGGUAGAAUUCCUUUUAACCUAUUUGCCAAAAUUUUUGUAACAGUUUUAUACAUCACUAGACAUAGGCUAAUGGGACAGAACAUCCUCAAGUUGGUGGGGUUGUUUGUUUUUGGGAUAAGAACAAUAAGGGUCUUAUUAAGCUCUGGAGGGAGGGGAUUGCCUUUAAAAAUAUUGCUCACAAGUUCACAAAUUGAUGAGCCCACCACAUCCCAUUGCGACUGGUAGAAGAGACCAUGAAGGCCAUCAAUUCCAGGAGCUUUUAGAGGGUUCAUUCUGAAAAUUGUAGCUUUAAUUUCCUCGUUAAGAAUAGUUCUGCUAAGAUCAACUAAACUGUACUCAUCAAUUCUUGGAAAAGCAUUAGCAAUCGGGAAAUUAAAACUCACUUCAUCAUUAUAAGAAAAACGUUUAGAGAAAAAAUCAAUGGCAUGGGACUUGAUCUCUUCUUUGUUAUAAAUCUACGUACUCUUGCUGCUCUGGAUUGCAUCCACUCGGUUUCUCCUUUUUCUCGUUAUUGUUUUUCUGUGAAAAAAAGCAGUGUUUCUAUCCCCACAUGAAAUCCAUUCUCUCCUUGACUUUUGGUACCACAAUAACUCCUCCUUGGAUAGUAUAGUUUCAAGUUCCAUCUUCAAUUUGGACUCAAGCUCAAGAAGCCGGUUUGAAUCAAAUUUCUCCAGAGCAUGUUGAAUACCAUUUAAUCUUGCCAAUAAACACCUUUUCCUUUUAAAAAUGUUCCCAAAAUUCUCUUUAUUCCACACACUAACUUUAUCCACAAAGUCAUGAGCAGCCCGAAUAUAUCCCUUAGAGUUGCACUAUUCCUUAGCCACUAGAGAUUGGAAAGACUGGUCCGUCAACCGAGCUGCCAAGAAACGAAAAGGCCUAACAACAUUCAUUUUCUUCAAACUACGACCAAAUCUGACAAGAAUCGAACGGUGGUCAGAAUGAAUUUUUGGAAGAUGUAAAACUGAAGCUUCCAUAAAAGACACAUUCCACUGGUCAUUGCAUAUGGCUCGGUCUAAUCUUUUAAAGAGAGAUCCCCUUGACCAAGUGAAACAAGGCCCUUUAAAAUGUAUAUCCAUAAGCUGAUUAUCAUGAAACCAUUUGUUAAACAGUCUAUAAACACCAUUGCCUUUUUUUGAACCUCCUUUUUUCUCGGAAACAUGUAGGAUUGAGUUGAAGUCUCCACCUAGUAGCCAUGGUCUUGUAACUGAAUUAGCUACCAGGUCAAGAUUGCUCCAUAGCUCCCUCCUAAAAUUUGGGUUGGGGCUAGCAUAAACGGCAGUGACCCAUCAGAAAAAUCUGUGAUUUUAAAAUGAAUGUACUGCUUGUGAUUAAAAACAAACUCCAUCCUGAAUUCUUCUUUCCAUAAAAUCCAAAUACCCCUUGCAAAACCUUCAGCUUCCACUCGAUGCGAUAACUCAAAACCACUACGCUUAAUAAAGUUAUCAGCUUUAACUCCACUGAUUUUAGGUUCCAAAAUCGCAACAAUAUUAGAAUUGCGGAUCUUAAUCGUCUUGUUUUCAACCCACAAGAAAUUCUACUAAUUCAACUAAUUGGUACACCAAGUUACAUAAUCCAAAAAUAAGCCUCGUUGAAAAUUAACUAAUUAAACAUGAAUCCACGUCAUCUACUACCAAGCACACAUGCUAUGUUUGCUUUGCUUUUCAGUCAAUCACUCAGUGCAAUCCGUUUUGUGACUGGUUUUUCUUAAAAAAGUAUAUAAAAAUUUGCAAAAGUCUUAUUUUUCUUUUUUUUUUUAAAUUUGGUGACUGUCGAAUUUUAACUCAACAAUCAUACAAAAAAAAUUGGUUCUAGGACACUGUUCAGCGGCUCCUGAGUUGGUUUAAGGGCAGUCCUUUGUUGUAGGACACUGUUCAGCAGCUACCUUCUCCGUUUGAUACGCAAAAAGCUUUCUCACUCAUUUCGUUACUAACAAUUUAAGUUGACACCUCCUCCCUUUAAUUAAUAAAAAUGGAGCAUUUGAAUCGUCCCAUAAUUGAUGAUUAGCAAAAUUUUUCGGAGGAACAUAUCGGUAAUGCUACUACUUUGUCCGAGUAAAAUUGCCUGGACAAGCCAACAUUUCGGAGAGCAUUAUAACUUAAACAUAAACCCGUAGAUUAUCAAAAAAUUUGAUCAUUAAGUAAUUUAGUUUUAACAAUUAAAUCAUAGUAUCAUCAUGUCAUGUUACUUUGAGAUGAAAAUUUUUGUAUGAUUUUUUAUGGGAACUUUUUUUUUUUAAAGUUAAUUGAGGAAUAACCCCAACCAUAUAUAUGCUCUCAGGAGUGGUUGAUCGAGUGGUUUUUAAUAACACAACUACACCUGGUUAACAUUUGUUUAUCUUUAUCUCAUGUGGCAUCCUUCCUGGUGCACUUCACGCUACAUGUUACAUGUGCUGUACAUAGUCUCCACUUAAUGGAUUAUAGACUAUUGGGGCACUUUAUCUUGUAAGUGUUGAUAAUUGUGAUCUCUUUAGAAGUUUAUGACUUUAUCUGAUAAACACAAUCAUACGAUAAGAGCAAUCUUUACAGUUUGUAUCUAUAUUAAAAGACUCAGCUGUAUAAUGAUUAUUUAGCGAAUACAAGUUUCUUUCAUGGUAUUAGAGCUUAACCUCUACGGAGAUUUAGAAUCCUCACAAUGGCCAGCCAACAUUCCACAGCAACUUCAACCACACAAUUAGCAACUCAAAUCUCGGAGUGCAUCUCUAGCUAUCAACGCUGCUGCUCAACUUCCAAUUCGAUUGACACCCAACAACUGCUUUAAUUGGAGAGCUCGGUUUCUCUAGCUAGCUUUUGGCCAUGAUUUGAUAAAAUACAUGGAACACUUCCACAUCCUGAUCAAAUCUCAUCUUCAAGCUGCAGCACUGCCUCCAACACAAACCUAGAGUACUCCCUUAAAAAAACACAUUUAAUGCAAUUCUUACAUCCUCAACCGAAAAGAUAGCAUCCUUAGUUGCUAGUUGUUCAACAUCCAAGCAGGCUUGGGAAAAACUAGAAUGACUAUACUCUAGCAAAAGCAAAAGUAGAGUGUUCACACUCAAAGAAUGCUUGACUGGCCCUCAUGGAGAAAAUCAAACAAUUGCGGAUUAUUUGAAUAAUCUACUAUCCAUAGCUGAUGAGUUAACUCUAUUUGAUUCCCCCAUUAUAGAUGAUGAUAUUUCUGUUCAGAUGGUAAACAAUAUCGGGAAAGAGUUAAAAGAAAUCAUAGGUGGUGCCCGAACUCGAGAAACGUCUGUCACUUUUGAUGAAUUGUAUGACAAGCUUGUUGACUUUCAAGAGUAUCUAAAAAGAGAUGUAACACUUGCACAAACUCCUGCAGUCAACAUAAAAUUAAACCAAAAAUCGUUAUCCUAAUCGCAACACUUACCAAAAGCGUGUCUAACCUGCAUCACCCUUACUCACUCCACACACUUCCAAUCGACAUCAUACAAAUUCUAAUAACCAACCUACCCGAAAUUCCUUCUCUUGAACCCCAUGCCAUAUCUGAAGCUCUAAAAGAUCCUCUUUGGCUUGAGGCCAUGUAAAAGGCAUGGAAAAUGAUGUUUGCCCUGGGUCAAACCCCGGGGCAAACCCCGAAUAUAAACAAAACAAAAUCGUUUUGUUUGUUUGUUUGUUUUUCUUUUUCUUUUUUGCUUCUCCAAAACGCAAACGAAAAUUAUGUGGUUGUCUUUCAGCAACAAUCUCUUCAGGGAUCAUAUACGAGCACACGCGACACCAAUAGUUCCCAUCCACCUCGUUCCACAUACUGCAAUCCAUCAGCAAAAUAAAAAUCUACAAUCAAACCAAAUCAUAACAACCACAGCAAUGAAAUUCUAAAAACCUUUGAAUGUUAGCAGCCCACAAAUCACUCGAAAGGAGCUUCUCCCUCAUUGUGCUCACCCUCUUCUUCCCCUCCGGAGGCUUAAGUAACUCAAUCUUCUUCCCCAAUUUCCUCGCCUCGCAAAAUUCACAAACCCAUUCACCUUCAGGAACCUCCUUCAACGGCGGCUUCAAGCACUUCAAAUGAAACCCACCUAAGUAAUCAUCACACUCAAGCAUAACAUUCCUCCCUGCUCUAAAACAAAUCCUACACUCCUUCACCUCAGGAUCCUCUUCAUCCGAGCAUGCAUCCUCUCUCCUCUUCACAUACACAUCAUCUCCCACCUCAAAUUCACCCUCAUCAUACACCACUUUCUUAUAAUAAACCCUCAUCUUCUUUAAAUUCUCAACUUUGCCACUCUGCGUUUUCACCUUAGACCUUAUCACCACAGCAUCACCACUCCUCUCUUCGCUAUAGUCCUUUCUUUUUCUCUUCUUCCCCUCCGAUAAUUUAGGUGACAUCGGAGAAACCACCAACUCCUCCGAAUGCAACCCAUCUUUAGGCUUCAUUUUCGGGGUCUUAUUGCUCAAAACGUGAGAACGCAAAUGAGACAAAUCAAGAAUAUGAGAACUGAAAAAAUAAAUUCAAUGUUACAAUGUUACAAUGUUACAAUGUUGUAAAAAUACAGGGAAAAAUUAAAAAAAAUCAAAAAACAAAAUGUUGCAAAGAAGACAGUAUCGAAAAAAAAUUCAAGCUUCGAAAAUUCAAGCUUUCAGGCACAAUGUUAAUCUUGCUCUGCCGAAACUUCGCAACUGCUGUUGGUCUUGUUCCGUCGAAACUCAGCUUAGUAGCCGAAACUCAACUUUCAAUGACAAGUUUCGCAGCCGAAACUUAGCUGCUGUUGGUCUUGUUCUUCAAUAAAUGGGUGCGUUCUUUGUUAAUCACUUUCUUCAGUUCAACUUAAGACGAAGAGGAUGAAGCAUUCUGCUGUGGAUCCUGUUCUGCUGUGGAUCUCGGUCGAGGAUGGAAGAAACAAAAAAUAAACGAAGAAACGAAAAAGAAAACAACGCAAAAAAGAAAGCGGAGAAGCAAAAAAUUAAAAAAAAAAAAACAAAACAAAACGACACCGUUUUGUUUAUAUUCGAGGUUUGACCCGAGGCAAACAUCAGCACUCAAAAGGCAUACCAAGCACUUAUAACCAAUGACACGUGGGAAUUGGUUCCGCCGUCACGUUCGCUGUAAAUGGGUAUUCCAUGUCAAACGACACCUAAAUGGAACAACUGAUCAAUUUAAAGCUUGCUUGGUAGCGAAAGGAUUUCAUAAAUGGGCUGGCAUAGAUUUUCAUAUCACUUAGCCCUAUCAUGAAACACACCACCAUUUUGGUCAUUCUUUUCUUAACAUUACACAAUGGUUGGUCCUUGCAACAACUCGAAAUAAACAAUACCUUCUUAAGUGGCACUCUUGAUGAGGAAGUCAUUAAGAAAAAGCCUCCUGGUUUUGUUGAUACUCACCGUCGAAAUUUUGUGUGCAGGUUAAAGAAGUCAAUAUAUGUGGAUGACAGAAUUCAACAAAGCUGUUCAAAUGCUUCACUUUUCAUCUUCCAUCAUAAUGGGGUUUGUCUUAUAUUCCUAACCUAUGUGGACGACACAAUUCUCACUGGUAACAACAAUCUCGCCCUUGCCAAGUUCAUCCAUGCGCUUGGUAACACUUUUGCACUGAAAGAUCUCGGUAAUUUGCACUACUUUUUGGGAGUUGAGUUCAUCCAGACCUGUGAUGGGCUUUUUCUCUCACAAUAUUAUAUUUGAAUUUUGUUGCAAUGAUUUGACAUCUCUAAUGCUAAGCCUGUCUCAACAGCGCUGUCCUUUUCAACACCCUUAAAGAUCAAUGAUGGCUUGAACUUCGUGGAUGCUACAUUGUUUAGACAACUUAUUGGUGCUCUUCAAUAUGUUACUCUCACAUGUCCAUACAUAUGCUUUGUCGUAAACAAGCUCAACUCAGUUUCUUCGUCAACCAACAAAGCUCAAUUCGCAAGCGGAUAAGUGACUCAUAUGCUAUCCCAAGGAUACAAUUUUCUUUGGCCUCUUUUUUUGCUCACACUCCAAUACUUUGCUCACUGCCUACACUGACUCUGAUUGGGAUGACAACUUAGAUGAUCGCAGCUCAACCAGUGGCUAUGUCAUAUUCUUUUGUGGAAUCCAGUCUCACGAUCCUCCAAGACACAACGCUCCAUUGCAAGAUCAUCUACUGAAGCUAAAUUUCGGUCAAUUGCAAGCACUUUCUCUGAAAUUUGUUGGUUAUACAAUUUGUUGUUUGAACUUGCUGUCAAAAUUCCUAAACCUGUUCUCUACUGUGACAAUCUUGGAGCUACUUUUGUUUGCACCAAUCUUGUGUAUCAUUAAAAAAUAAAGCAUGUCGAAAUUGAUUUUUAUUUCAUCCGUGACAAGGUUGCAAAAAGGUUGUUGAGCAUUGUUCAUAUACCAUCCGAAAGCAGCUCGCUAACACACUCAUCAAAGCUCUUCCCCAUACUCCAUUUAUUGCUUCACGAUUCAAGUUAGGUGUUCACGACGGAAAGCCUAUCUUGUGGAGGCAUAAUAACACAACUACACCCGGUUAACAUUUUGUUUAUCUUAUGUGACAUCCUUCCUCAUGCACUUCACAAUACAUGUCACAUGCGAUGUACAAAGACUCCACUUAACAGACUAUAGACUACUUGGGAACAUUAUCUGAUAAGUGUUGAUAAUUGUAAUCUCUUUAGAAGUUUAUUACUUUAUUUAAUAAACACAAUCAGAGAAUAAGAGCAAUCUAUACAAUUUGUAUCUAUAUUAAAAGAUUCAGUUGUAUAACACUUAUUUAAUUAAUAUAAGUUUCUUUCAAGUUUUAAAUAAUUUUAUUUAAUUGGCCACUCAAAUUUGAGGCUUAGUGCGUGUAUCCAAGAUAAUACUUGAGAAGGUAGAAUGAUAGCUUUGUUGCCUCUUUAUGUUAACAGUAUGCCAGCUGAAAGGACUAAAGAGCCAAUUAGUGAAAAGAUUCCACAAGAUAAUAUACAGGGGGCCAAUGAGUUCACGCAAUUAUUAUGACACCAUUCAACCAAGUUAUGAGUGGUCAUUUUCUCCACUCGUUAACUUGUUUUUGCUACUUCUUAGAGAUUUCGUUUUUUUUCUAGUAUAUAUACUUUGUAGCACUUAUGAGAGUUCAUUAUUACAAAACAAUCUUUUUUCUCCCAUGGAAAUAAUUCAUUGUCUUAGUACGGUAAGAGUUCUCUUGGUUCCAGUGGUGGAUUUAGAAAAAUAAUUUACCAGGAACUAAAUUAAAUAACAACAAAAUGUAAAAACUGAAAUUUGAAUAUACAAAAUUUUUUAUAACACAUUUAUAAUUGUUCUCUACGUGAUUUCAUAUUCUGAAAACGUUGUGUAAUAGACUCAUUAUCAACACUAUUAUAUUACACACAUCUUUUUUUUACAUAAACAAUCAAAUUAUUAUUUAUCCAUUCAUCUCCCAUUUGAUUCCAAAGUUAAUUCUUUGCAAAUUUUAUUGCUAAAAAUGUUCUCCAUAUUCUGGUUGUAGAAACUAAAAGAAUGGGGCUAUUUGAUAAUUUGACAAGAAUUAUUUAAAAUUUAUUAAUUUUUCUUUUAAAUAAAAAGGGGUAAUAUUUUUUUUUCAGUGGGGGCUUGGGCCCCCACUGGUCCCACACUACAUCCGCCUCUGCUUGGUUCAUUGUUUGAUUCUCCCCUUUGUAAUGUCAACAGCCAACACUAGCAUUAUCACAUAUCAAGGUGCUCUUCUUUCCCUGAAAGCUUAUAUCACUCAUAACCCUAACAAUUUCUUAUCAAGAAAUUGGAACACUCCAUACCUAUUUUUUUGACCGGAUGGGGGUCAUAUUGGAAAGUAGAAUCCAUUUAUUCAUUAUAUUGAGCUAUAAGUAUAUCUUUUUAUAUGUAUUCUUAAAUUACAGUAGACUUUGAUUGCAUAGCUUAAUUAUAGGGAUCCUAGCAUAACUAUAGGAACUGAUGGUCGUGUAUAGUAAGUCAGUCAUAUGUGUAUAUAUACUCAAUCUAAUGUCAAUGAAAAUUAUUCUGCCCAUUCUACUUUUCUCUCAUACUUAGAUGGUAUCAGAGUAAGGAUUCACUGCACUUUAAUCUCUCGUAUAGCAUCUCUCUUUCAGCCAUCAUGGCCCUUGAGGAUAUUCCAAAAACCAGCAAUUCUGAUCCACAAAAAUCAGAGAUUUCUGCAGAUUCCUCCAAGGAAAAUCUCUCCAAUCCCUUCUUCACUCACUGUUCGGAUAACCCCGGAUUGAUUCUCAUCUCCAAACCUCUAAAUGGAGAUAAUUACUUUGGUUGGAAAAGGGCUAUGGUUUGAGCUUUAAACUCCAAGAACAAGCUCGGAUUUGUCAAUGGUUCUAUCACAGUUCCUUCAGAAGAAGGUGAUCCUAAAGGCUAUGCGACUUGGUCAAGAUGCAACGAUAUGGUUCAUUUCUGGAUCGCCAAUUCUUACGAUCCAGAAAUAGCUGACAGUAUGACUUGUUAUCCUAUUGCUCAUGAGGUUUGGGAAGAUUUCUAUUAGCGUUUCUCUCAAGGCAAUGCAUCUCGCAUAUUCGAGAUACAACAAGAUAUUGCUUCUCUUUGACAAGAGCAACUCUCUGUCUCUGCUUACUGCACUAAGUUGAAAAGUUUAUGGGAUGAAUUGGCAACACAUUCAGACAUAGCACAAGCCGAUCGAUAUAAAUUGAUGCAGUUUCUAAUGGAGCUUGUUGUGAAUUGAUAUGGCUUCGUUACUUACUUAGAGAUUUGGGGAUUUUACAUCAAGAGGCUGCAUUGCUAUAAUAUGACAAUAAGGUUGCAUUACAUAUAGCAGCUAAUCCAGUUUUUCAUGAACACACAAGGCACAUAGAGAUGGAUUGUCAUUGUAUAAGAGACAAGAUACAAGAAGGUUGUGUGAUAACAAGAUUUGUGAGUUCCGCAAAUCGGCUUGCUGAUAUGCUAACCAAAGCUUUGGGAAAAGAUGUUUUCAUGCCUAUGGUUCGCAAGUUUGGAGUGCUAGACAUUCACUCUCCAACUUGAGGGGUCAUAUUGGAAAGUAGAAUCCAUUUAUUUAUUAUAUUGAGCUGUAAAUAUAUUUUUCUGUAUGUAUUCCUAAAUUACAAUAGACUUUGAUUGCAUAGCUUAAUUAUAGGUAUCCUAGCAUAACUAUAGGAACUGGUGGUCGUUUAUAACAAGUCAGUCAUAUGUGUAUAUAUACUCAAUCAAAUGUCAAUGAAAAUUAUUCUGCCCAUUCUACUUUUCUCUCAUACUUACAAAAUUAGGUGAUAAUUAAGAAACAUGAAACUAUAAAAAUAUAAGUUCUUCUAUUUAUUCCAUUCUUUCUUCUUCUUCUUCUUAGUUGUAUGCAUGAAACUAUUGAUUAUUAUUUAAUUGAUAAUGAAACCGUCAUAUAUCAUUUCUAAAACAUAAAACCUUAUAUAGUCAAUAGUAUUCAAUAAAAAUCUAUCAAUAAAUGAUAAUAUAAUAUAAUUAUAGUGUCAUGUAUUUUAUGUGAAUAUUUUAAAAUUGUAUAGCAUUUAAAGAAAAAAAAAGGAUAAAAGUUUUGGAUAGGGAUAAAAAACCUCACCAACGAAACUUUAGUCUUUGCUUUCAAUUAUUAUUUGAACUACGCAAAAUACCAUCAUGGUCAGUUAAGCUGCAUUCAAGGUCUGUAUUAUAAGUUGAAUGUGACCUAGUUGAAACAAUUUUCGAGCUACUUUCUUUGGUAAUAACCAACUCCCCUUCUAGAAUCACCAACGCAUCUUCUUUACAAGGUCUUGAUUUCAAUGACAAAAUGCUAUCUAGUGAACUCCCCAAAAAUAUUGGCAGUAAUCUUCCUUUUUUGGAAUUUCUUUAUUUGUCCAAAAACAGGUUUCAUUGCAAAUACCAUCUACUUUAUCAACGUGCAUGUCUGCUAACUUUAAUAUUAUCAUCCAAUUAUUUCUUGGGAGACAUAUCAAAACAUAUAUACAACUUGAUUAGCAAAGCUUUAGGGAGUUAAAUCUUCGAUAUAACAAAUAUCGGAGUUUAAAUUGAUGAAAUUUAAUUAAUGAUGUUUCACUCAUAUUCAGCUACCUAAUUCUUAAACAAUAAUUGUUAUUAUACUCUUCGAGCAAUAAAUUCCUUUCAUGUUAUAAGAUGGAAAUUAAAUCCCUAAUUAUAUUGAAAAUUUUAUCAAUCUAGUCAUUUUUAUAAAUUUAUUAUCAAAAUUAGCCAUAUAAUAGAAUUUCUUAACAUAAUAGCCACAUGCACGUAAUUGGGACCAAAUUAUCCUUAAAACAAUCAAAUCAAAUUCCUCAUAUCCGACCUAUGUAUUUACAGGUCGACCAAUUGUAUAAUCAAUAUAGGGAUGGUUACAAUUGAGAAUUUAUAGAGUGCUCAAUAUUGAGCAUAGCUUCUAUUAAGGGAUUAAAUAUGUAUGUGCCGAUGUAGUGAAUAAUGAAAUCUAAGAUACAUAUUGAACAAGUUAUCUAAACCUCUUGUAGUAAUUGCAAUUGAGAUUGUAGCUAUCUAAAGCUCUAGUUUAUGUCGCCCAUGGGUCACACGUUGCAUUUGCUCAUAUGAUACUACCCAAAGACCCUAUUCUCGCAACUCUAUUUACCUUGUGAUCCCAUUACAUGCGAGUAGAUGUUAGAUUUAGGCGCCCAUGAUGGGCUGACUAUAUGUAAAGUAAGAGAUGGCUUAACAUUGUAGAACUUAUUGAGAAUUCAUAAGAUGUAACUUAUUGUUUUAUUUACAUCCUGAUGGCAUGAGAUCUAGCUUAUUCAAAUGACUUUGUUAAGUUUAUUUCAAUUAGAACACACUAAUUGUAAUAUAAAGACAUUACAUGGGUGAGUGAAAAUAUGUAAAAUAAAAAUCCGAAUUAUGCAAAAGAGAGUGUAGGAGAGAAAAUCAGAUAGUGUAUAUUCUUACUUUGUGAAUUGAGAGGUGUUGAAAAGUCAAGCAUGCAAAUUGAAUAAUUGUAUGUGACAGUUAGCAUGCAUUGCAUGACAAAGUUGGCACGAAUUGCCAAAUUUGUCAAUUUGGCAAUUAAAGUCAAAUUGAAGCGUGUGGUAGGUGAGCAAUGCUUCCUAUAGAUAAAAGGGUCAUUGUUCAUUUGUUUUCAUUCCAAUUUUGAGAGCAAGCAAGUGAAACAAUUUGAGAAUUUUGAGAGAGAUUCUACUUCAGUGGUGGGAGGAUUUAAUUGGGUGUAUUGGAGUUGUGGGUUUUGAGAGUUUUUCCCACUUUUGUAGAUUCUCAUUUUAUUAGUAAAAUUAUCUUCCAAUCUUUGUCCGUAAAAGUAGGCAUCAUGCUAAACCACAGAAAUUAUUUUAUCCUAUUUUCUUUACAUUUGUUUGUCACAUUAUAUUUCUCCAAAAGUCACAUGAAUCACCAGAAUAUUAGUAAUUGCUCAACCCGCGCUUCCGCAACAAGAUGAUCUUUCAACUUUGUGAUUAUCCUUCGAUGACCUCAUGACAAUAUGUUCGUGAAGGUUCCUAACAAUCCAUUCUUAAAUCUUUAAGAAUGGAAGGGAUCUGUUCUUGCAGUUGGAGGACACAUUGUGAUUUGUUCUUGCAGAUUCAUUGCGACCCGAUUGCUGAAUUGUGACUAUUUAUAUCCGCAUCAACCAACAUAUGUAUGGUUUUAGUUCAAAAAAUAAAUUUACAUGAUUGAUUUUAAAAAUCAAAAUAUACUAAAUCGAGUUGUAAUAAUCACAUUCAUAAUUGCCUGGAGUCUUGUCUUCACUCUCAAAUUUGUAUUGAUAGUCACGUUUUACAUAUAUGGUAGUGACAGUUAUAAUUUCACUUGUAGUGAAAGCAAAAAUCGAAGUGCAGUGAAACUGAGAGUUUUAAUACACAACGUUGCACGAAUAGUAUUGCUUUAACAAUAAGCGAAAGUUCCAGUGAAAGCAGAAGUUCAUCAAAUCUACCAAGAGGAAGUUUCCUCGCCCAUGUGAAAGAUAAACGCCUAAAAAUGUAAGGAGAAGUUUCAAUAUUGAGCAAAUCGCCUACGUAAGGUAAUCCGUACCCCAAGGUAUGGAGUAAUCUGUCUGGGUAAGCAAGAAGCCAAUAAGUGAAAGGUCAGGGACACUUGUGCAAGCAUCAAUUAACAUGAACAUAAAUCGCCAUAUAAUGGCAAGUGUCUCAAAAGUAAUUUAAACAUCAUUCAAAUCAACAAAAGUCAUUAUAAACUCUAUCCUUUUGGUAAAAAUUUUUAAUGAAAAAUAACUCAAAUAAAUGUUAUUUAAUUUAUACUUCUCACUCUCCAUUUUUUCUCUCCAAAAAUUUUGGUUGCUGACUUGACCGUCAAUGGUUCUCACUGGUAGCACACACCUCUGACUUUUCAUUUGCAUAUUGUAGAAUAUUCAUCGGUAAAAGUGGACCUUCCGAAAGCUUGAGGAUGAGGAGCCCAACAUAGAUGCUAAGGAAGAGAAACUCGUCCUACUCCUACCAAGAACACUUAACAAAGAUGAAUUAGUAAAUUGUAAAAAAAAAAAUGAUAUUAUUUUAAAUUUAAUUGUAUAAGUGAAUUUUGGCAAAUUAAUUCUAGGCCGAGCGGAGAAAGAUCAAAUUAUAAACUAAGAAAAGGAGUUCGUCUUAGUCCGAAAGGAAUAUCAAUAUACACAAGAUUUUAUACUUGACCAUUAGGACGAAAUUCUGAACCGCCGGUAGCCACUCAAUGUGGCCUACUUCUCCUGAUAAUAAUAAUAAUAAUAAUAAUAAUAAUAAUAAUAAUAAUGAGCAGUGCUAGAGCUAGACAUGAUAAAAUUUUAUUUUAAUAUUUAUUAACAUUCAUAAAAUAAAUAGUGAGCGAAUGUAAUUAUUUCCACUUAAAACUUGUAAAUUUUUUUAAUUGUUUGAUGAAUUACACAUUACACAUUACAUAGAAUCCAUUAAAAUAAAAUUAAUUACAUUAAUUUUAUUUAAUUGUUUGAUAAAAUUUUAAGAUAUCAAUUAUUACUCGAUAACAAUUAGUUUAGCUUUUGAGCAAAUCAUAUCUUUACAACAAAUUAUCCUUUUCAUAUAAUUUGUCAAGUCUAUUUACUUCUCAGUUCAACCCUAGCCAGUUGUUGUUGCACUUGUACGUUCAUUAAAAAAAUGUGGUGGCACAUCUUCAUAAGCAAUGCUUAUCCUGUUACCUCUUAGACCCAGAUUGUUUGCAGAAACACGAGUAAAAUUAAUUUGUUCAUUAUUCAAGUCAAACACGCACACGCUAGCAAAAAAUUCAGGGAUAUGGGCCACCAUCAAUAUGGAUAUAGAUAGAUAAAUAUAAUAGGUAACGGUAAUUAAAAGAUGUCGGUUGCUACAUUACCGCACAAAAAUAAUCAUUUAUGCUAAGACAAAUAGGGCCACAUCACGUGUACGUAUAUGUCCCCAUUCAGAUCAUAUUGUUAUUUAUAAAUUAUUAUUAAUUUAUUAUUAGCAUUUGCCUGAUCCUAAUACUAUGCCUUCAACUUUGGGAUAAUCACAAACAUAAAUGUUGUGUCCCCCUUGGUGGGUGUAUUGUUUCAAUCAGCACACAAAGACAAAUAGACAAUAUUCAUCACUUCUCAGUACGUAAUUCAAAUUUCACAAACACUAAAUUAUAAUUAAGCUCAUCGAUUUGUUGCAAUUGUUGUGGCCGAUCCAAAUGACAAACAAUAAAUGCCCAAAGUCAUCUGAUAGCCAUAUUCAGCUACUAUAAUAUACGAGUGCCGGAAAAUGUAAUCACUUACACUGCAUCACGUGUUUUUUUUUCUUUUAAAUUGUUAAUGCAGAUAAUGGGUAUAUUUUACCUUGAUCCUAAAUUAAAGGUCAAUAUAAACACAGUUCAUAUUGCUUCCCGAUUGUAAAUUAAUAUCAAUGUGAGCUGUAGUUGACCUCAGAUUUAAGGACAACAUCCAUCGGAUGAUUCAUAUGAAAGGUCAAGAAAAAAAUAAACAACAAUCAAACUAGAGAUGUUAAUAAGUAAAAGAACGUGGUUAGUAAUAAAACCACGUGUUGAAAACUCGAGUUUUUCCACCAUUUCCCCCUCUCUCAGCCAAUAAAUUAGGGCAAAAAACCUUUUGGUCAAUUUUUAGUGCAAAGUCAAAAGAAAUCAAGUUGUAAAACAAUUCUCAAUCUCCAUACACUAACUUGAGCAUUGAGGUGUCUUUUACAAUCAUGUAUUUAAGCUCAAUCAACAAAAUCCCACGAGGAUUGCAAGUUAUUCCAGAAUCUUCAAAGAAAUCAGGUAUAAUUAAUUCCUUAUUCACUUUACAUUAAUUUAUGAUACAUCCGAUCGGUGAAGGUUUACGCAUCUUCAACCACCAAAAAAAAAAAAAAAAUAUCAUCCAACUUGUAUAGUUGAUUAGAUCAAAAUAAUGUUAAAUGAUAGAGCAUAAAAUCAUAGGCAGAUUCAAAAAAUAAUUUAUUAUCUUAUUUGUAUCAACAUAAAAUCAGUGGUGGAUUUAAAAAAAUAAUUAAUGAGGACUAAAUUAAAUAAUAAAAAGAUAUAAAAAUGUUUGCAAAUAAAAUUUUCUACAUUUUUUUAACAUCAACUCGUAGCAGUAUCUUAUGUUGUAAAUUGACAUUUUAUGCUAAUAAUAAUAAACUUUAUAUUACAUAGAUAUGAAGUUUAUUACAAAAUGAAAAAUGCAUUUAUAAGAAAACUUAUCGGGAGUAAGGUUUACUCUAUGAGGGACCGACAAAAGGGAUAGCAACGCAUAAAGCCUUUGAAUACUUUCAACAAAACUUUAUUUCUUUUCGUCAAAAGAAAUUCCACCGGCUCAUGAGAAGAUUAAAGAUUCUAAAUCAUAUGAUUUUAUUCCUUUGUAAUAUUCUAAUUACUUAAUUAUUAAUUAACCAUAAUAAAACCCACAAUUCAAGCAAUUUUAAUCUAAGCAACACACGUGGAAGGUCGGUUGACGAUUGGAAGAAAGUUACAUCACAUGCAUAGGAUGUCCCGUGUUUACGUGUACUGGUGGAUCCAUCUCAUUGGUUCUUAAAUUUGAAGCCUCUAUCUUCGCCGAUGUCCCUCGUCUGUGGCAACCUAGGCGCCGUCAGAUUCUGACGCCCUUUUUCUGAUUUUCAACUUUCACAUCACGCGUCCUUGAAGACGCCACAUACACGGGCAUUUGUCCAUUUGUUAUCGAAUCCUCGUGUUUGUAUGAUUUUCAAUUAUCGUAAACAAUUUUUCUAGUUCUUUUUAAAUUUAAGGUUCUCUCUAUUUUAUUUAAAAAUAUAUAUACGUAUGUGAUUGUAAAUUAAUAAAUAAAAAUAUAAUAAUUAUGUAAAUUUUUAUUAAUAUAUAUGUGUUAAAAGAUUUUCUUUCUCAGAUAUGACUAGAUAAUAAGUGAAUCUUUAUUCUUACAAAAUAAGAUACAAAAUUUGUAAACUAAUUGAUAUUUUUUAUGAAGUGACAUUAUUUUAUUGAAAUCAUUUUAUUAUUAAUUUUUAAGUAUUAUUAACUUUUCAUAUUGAUAUUAGAUCAAUUGAGACAUGAUAAGUGCAUCAAUAACUUUUGAGAAUAAUAUUUCUUAACACUUCUCAUUAAAAAUAAUUAAAUAUGACAAAUAAAAAUAGAUCAUAAUUAAAUAAAUUUAAAAGAAAUAUGAGAACUAACACAACUUAAAAUUAAAGGACUAAAUGAGGAUUCUCUUUUACAUAUUAUUAUAAAAGAAAGCAAAUCAGAUCUUCAAACCAAUAUAUUAAUUACAAAAUUUUAACUGGCAAGACCAAAAAGAUGAAUCUAAAGUGUGAAUGCGCGUGGCUUAAAAGAAGAAAAGUUAUGGAUAAUCGUUAAAAUAUUUUUUAAAAAAUCAACAUUUAAUUAUUUAUAUCUAAUGUGGGCACAGCCCCAGCCCCCAGCACAUGGGAAAGUUGCCUUUAGCAUCACUAGUGCCAUUGGGUGAGCUGUCCUUGUGAUUUCAUAAAACAAAAGUGAGAUUUCACACUUCAAUAGAGCUUUGGUCUAUCAAAUAUCUAGCCAAUGAAAGGAUAUAGUAAAUGGAUUUUUUUUUAAAAUUUUUCUUUUUCAAUUAGUGACAUAGAUAGUCAGAUAUUUCCUGUACCUAGUCUAAAUUGAUUAUAACGUAGUUCAAAUAUUUGGACUAAAAAUAAUUAUUUUUUGUCUUCAAAUUUCAAUGAAAUGUAAAUUCUAAAUCUCAUGAAAAACGAUGGAUUUAAAUAUUUAGCUAUAUAUAUAUAUAGUCAAAUUACGGCUUCGAAACUAAAUAUUUUACUCAAAAUUUGAAACUAUGACACUUAUAACUUCAAAAAUUAUUAUUGAUAUUGUUUAAUGAAAUAUUUAUCACGAUUUUUUCGGGAUUAAAUUUAAUGUGACACAACUCAAAUGUUUCAAUCUAAAGACCAAAUUUACUCUCAAAUAAGGGGGGAAAAAAAAAACCAAAAACCUGUAAUUGAUCCACCAUCUUAAAAGUAUAAAUCACUAAUUAAGCAAUUAAAGUAAAAAAAAAAAAUCGAGAAAAUUCCAAAGAGUUGUAGCAUACAUGAUUAAGGAAACUAAUUGAACCGCGUAUGAUUCGUGAAAACGAAACACAAAAUUAAAAAGGUACGUGUUUAGUGUGUCUGAUAAUCAAAACAAGACACGUGUACGAAUCCUUUCGGAUUCUCUUCGCAACUCUUCUCUAUAUAAGUCCCCAUCGUCCCUCUCUGCAGUUACAUAACACAAAGGCAGUUACUCAAAUUGAAAAAACACACAUUCCUUUAAAAUCUUCAAUCAAAGUUUCUUGCUUUUGACUCUUUAAAUUUCACUUGAUUUUUUUUUUUUUUUUUGUAAGAAUCAAUCAAAGAUGGCAGAUGAAGGCACAGCAACAUGCAUUGAUAUUAUCUUGGCUAUCAUUUUGCCUCCUCUCGGUGUCUUUCUCAAAUUUGGCUGCAAGGUAACGUAACUAGUUCUUCUCUUUUGGGGGUGUUUUUAAAAUUUUAUUUUAUUAAAAACAUUCUGAAGAUAUAUAAGAAUUCGCUAAAAAAAUUUGUCUGUUUGUAAUCGUUAAUGCAAUGGUUUGUGCAGGUUGAGUUUUGGAUCUGUUUGCUGUUGACAAUUUUCGGGUAUAUCCCUGGAAUUAUUUAUGCUGUUUAUGCCAUCACCAAGAAUUGAUCUCUCUCUUCUUAUU